rnacentral:rRNA from 1 species
AACGACGGCCACAGCGGUGGGGUACCUCCCGUACCCAUCCCGAACACGGACGAUAAGCCCACCAGCGUUUCGGCGAGUACUGGAGUGCGCGAGCCUCUGGGAACGUCGAUUCGCCGUCUCCA